GCUGGGUGUGGUGGCUCACACCUGUAAUCCCAGCACUUUGGGAGGCUGAGGCAGGCGGAUCACGUGAGGUCAGGAGCUCUGGACCAGCCUGGCCAACAUGGUGAAACCCUGUCUCUG
rfam:Pongo abelii chromosome 11.